CUUGCAGCUCUAAAGACAACUUCAGUACUACUGAAAUAAAGCUACUAUAUAGUAUCUUUGCAACCUUUAAACCAUCUUUUAGUAUGUAUGGGUGCUCUUGUUUAUUCAAGCAGUUGGAGAGUUCAGAGAAUAGUUCUGUAAAAUUAGUCUUUAUCAUUCGCUGCAAAUUGCAGGAAACAAUUGAGAUUUAAGUGUGAUUAUUAGGGAGUUGAAUUCUUACAAUUAUAAUUGAAACCCUGUUGUACUGUCAUUGCAGCCAAUGUGAUAUUCUAAUAAAUGUUCCUAAUACUUC
rnacentral:misc_RNA from 1 species